GAAGCGCAUGCGCAAGAUGCCUUGCUGCGGUAUGGGAGAUGGCGGCUUCUUUUGGAGCGUUCCUCUCGGAUUUACCGGUGUCGUUGAUGUCAUAGGCCACCCUGUAGGAAAAUAUUUUUUCAAGUUCGACGACCUGGAAAGUUUUGCCUUAGGAAAUCUCUUGACGGGCAAAAGAGAGCCUGGGAAAGGGAGCUGCAGAAAGCAGAGGAGAGAGAGGGUGAAAAGACACCCUUUACUGCGAAGUAUAAUGUUCUGAGCAAUUGGGGAGCUUAGCAAAACACUUAAUAUUUGUUCACUUUACUGUAUAUAUUUUACUUCAAGUUGAAAAUAUAGGGAGAUAAGUAAAUUCAACGAAUUUGAACGUUGAUUUGUGUUGAGUGUAUAAGGUGCGGACAAAGUGAGGACUAGAGUGAAGUGGAUGAGGCACUCUCCUGGAAUGAAAGAAUCAAAGGGACACCAGAAAUUCAGUGGCUGUUAAGGACAGCCGAAAUAGGACAAGAGAAGUGACAGCCAGAGGUUGAGAGGGGCCAGAGAAUCAUAAAAGUAGGCAUAGAUUUGCCACCUCUUUGUAACAUAAUGGUUCCUAACAAAACCUUGGAUCAAAAAGAUUAAUUUGGUUUGUAAUGUUUCAUUAAUGUUUAUGAUGUUGAAAGAGAGCAGGAAAGUGGGUAAAUAAAAAUGUUGGUGCCAAAAAAGAAAGAAAGACAGUGGCUAAGAUAAAUAAUAUUUAAUGCAAUAUUUUACAAAUUUAAUGCAAACAAUACUGAACAGAAUAUCAAAAUUUAAUAUUUGACGGUCACAGCAGCCCUAUGAGCCACGUACAAUCAUUACUGUAAUUUCACUGAUGGGGAAACCCAGGCAAUGAGUUGUUAGCAUACAAAGGAGUGGAGAGACUGCGAUACAAACGUAAGAUGGUUGACUUCAGAGCCCUCUCUCUUAAUUACUUUACUGUACUGUACUUGCACUUCUAGCUCUAGUUCCCCUGCUGUUACCUACACCACCUCCCAUUCAUUUUUUUUUAAUUGAACAUUUCUUGAAAGUCUAGACUGUUCCAGGCUUUCUGUUAGCUGUUGACUCCAUCUGUACCCUCAAAAGAGUUUAUAGGCAAGUUGUGGGAAUCAGAGGGUCAAACUAAGGAGCCUGUACCAUGGUGAUUUGAUUCAAUAGAAAAAUGAGGUAUCAACAGCUCAGCUGCUUUGGAAGCAAGCAGGACACUUGAUCCAUCGUGGGGGCAUCAAUGAAGGAUUCCUGGAAAAGGUCAUCAAAGCCCAGAGUAACCUGAAGGAUCAAUAGGUGUUAGAUAAAGAAGGGAGGAAAGGGAGUUUCAGGUGAGGGGAACAGCAUGUACAAAAGGACACAGAGUUAGGUAGAAUUAGGAUAUAGAAUCUGAGGUUAGGGGCCAAAAUAAACGAGUCCAGGGAAGGAGUAAGGCCCCAAAUCCAGAAGAAUUUGCAUGCCGGUCUAAAGAACAUUUGUGAGCUUUAAAAAGAUCACCCGGGGGACCCCUGAGUGGCUCAUUUGGUUAAGUGUUGGAAUUUGGCUCAGGUCAUGAUCUCACAGUUCUUGAGUUCGAGCGUGCAUCAGUCUCUGCACUAAGGAGCCUGCUUGGAAUUCUCUCUCUCUCCCUUUGUCUGUUCCUUCCACUCACCCUCUCAAAAUAAAUAAUACAAAAUAAGAAGAUCACCCUGGUUGCAAUGUGGAGAAAAGCUUGAGAAAGGAGAGUUUGGAGAAAGAAGACCAGUGAGGAGCUUUGACGCAACUCCAGCUGAGAAAUAAUUGCAAGAAAAAAGAGAUCUUAAAAAUACAGAAUGAUUUGAUGACUAACCAGAGCUAAAGAUAGAAGGAGCCACAGGUGUCUAGAUUUCUACCUUGGGUGGCCACGGUAGUGCUUUUUUUCUGAGCUAGGAAACACAAAGCAGUGUGGGUGAGGCAGGAAAGAUUAUGAACAUCCUGAAGGGAAGAAUCAUCAUUUUCUUCACAUAAUGUGUGUCUUAGCUGGAGCUGCUAUACCAAAAUGCCAUCAAAUGGUGAAUGGAAUUAUCUCCAUUGGCAACUAUGCACCAAAAACCCAUAGAAGGUCCCACCUUCGUGCUAUCUGCAGAUGCAAGAAUGGUUGAGGCCUCAGAUCCCAGCUCCUACUACAGUGAGAAAAAGAGAACUAAUGGUAGCCCUUAAUGGUGCACAUGAGCAUAGCAAUCCCCAGUUCACCAAGUGCUUUUAAUUCGUUUCAGUCCAUUCUCCCACCAUCAGUAGUAAGAGAUAGGAAGAAGGGCAGUGUGGCAAAGGACAAAGAAGCAGACCCACGUCACCUAGGCUGAGAUACCAACUCCACCUUUGUAAGCUGGGUGACCUCAAGCAGUGACAUCGUCUCCUCCAGCCAUUAUGAAGAUAAAAGGAAAUGUACAUGACACAUCUCGCAGGGUGGUAUGUGCGGUGACUGGGUUGCUGGUAUAGUGGCCGUCCCAGUUCUAUGGAUAUGGACAUGGCUCAAUGGAAGUCAUGAAAAAACUGUAAGCAAGAGCUGAGACUUUCUGAGAGAUCUCCAGAUGAGGAACUGAGGCUUGUUGAAACUUCCCUUGGUUCUCUCUGGUCAAAGAGAGAGCCUAGAAGAAUCGAAGAAACCUCUGGCUGAAUAUUGGUUGGGCAUAGGGUGAGCCAGGAUCUCCUUAUACAUGGUACUGGGAGCCACCUUUCUGUCCAGGAGCUAAAGAAGACACUAGCCACCCAGAGUGACCUUCCUUGUUCCUGCUGCUUCAAUGCACAAACAGGUUGUGAAACAUCUGGGUGGUGACUCAGCCUGGGGGCCUGUUCUGCUGGUCAGCUCAGACGGGCUAGGGCUGUUUGGUUGAGCCUCGAAAGGACAUCCUGUCUAACAAACACAUUGCCUGUCAAAGCCCUGACAGGGGGUGCCAAGCACAGACUGUGAACUCUAGCCCCUGAGGCGUCACAGAUGAUUGAACUGGGGUGCCUGAGUUGUAUAUAUCUCCUUGUUGUUAUUCUGACCUAAUAACCAACCAGGGUCAAUGUCAGGAAGAGGGAAACGUAUUAGAGGCUGGGAGCUCCUAUUUCUCAAGAGGCAGUUUGAAAUUGAUAGCCAGGCCCUGGGCUUUUGGUGUUCCCGUUAGGCAGACCUGAGUUCAGAUCCUAGCUCUGCUGUUUAUUGUCCUUGUGAGCUUGGACAGGUGGUUUACUCUUGGUGGAUUUCAAUAUCCUUAUUCUAUAAAAUGUCCAUUUUUUCAAAAUUAUCUUUUAGAAAUAAAAGAUGUAAAUUUCUUGAAACAUAGGAAAUUCUCCAUAAAUUGUUAUUAGGAUCCUGUGCUAAGGUCUUCCUCUUCCUCUACUCCAAACCAAAAUUUUCCCUUCUGAACUGAAAGGAUUUAUAUUGAAGAGGCACUCAGGCAGAAGUGGUAAGAUAGCAACCAGAUAUACUCCAAGCCCGGUUUUUUCAUUGCUAUUCCAUUAGUUACUGGAUUUAUUUCCUAAUAUUAGAAUCAAGGAGUCUGGUAGACUGAAAAUUGGUUCCCCAAAAUAUUCAGAUCCUAAUCUGGAACUGGUCAAUGUUACCUUAUAUGGCAAAAGCGACUUCGUAGAAGUGAUUAAAUUAAGGAUGUUAAGAUUAUCUGGGUGUGCCCUAAAUGUAAGCACAGGAAUCUUUAAGCGCGAAUGAGUGGGGGAGGGGCAGAGAGAGAGACAGGGACACAGAAUCCAAAGCAGGCUCCAGGCUCUAAGCUGUCAGCACAGAGCCUGAUGCUGGGCUGAA